ACUUUUUUAGUAUAAUUGUAUAACUGACUUCCAAUCAGUAGGACCGUAUUUACGGAAAGAGUA
rnacentral:tRNA from 1 species